rnacentral:rRNA from 1 species
GAUGAACGCUGGCGGCGUGCUUAACACAUGCAAGUCGAACGGAAAGGCCCAAGCUUGCUUGGGUACUCGAGUGGCGAACGGGUGAGUAACACGUGGGUGAUCUGCCCUGCACUUCGGGAUAAGCCUGGGAAACUGGGUCUAAUACCGGAUAGGACCACAUUUUGGAUGGUGUGGUGGAAAGUUUUUCGGUGUGGGAUGAGCUCGCGGCCUAUCAGCUUGUUGGUGGGGUAAUGGCCUACCAAGGCGUCGACGGGUAGCCGGCCUGAGAGGGUGUACGGCCACAUUGGGACUGAGAUACGGCCCAGACUCCUACGGGAGGCAGCAGUGGGGAAUAUUGCACAAUGGGCGCAAGCCUGAUGCAGCGACGCCGCGUGGGGGAUGACGGCCUUCGGGUUGUAAACUCUUUUCGCUAGGGACGAAGCGUUAUGUGACGGUACCUGGAGAAGAAGCACCGGCUAACUACGUG